ensembl:lncRNA
AUGCGUCUCGGGGCCACGGCUUCAUACACACACCACACUUGUCUUAUCCCCCGUCUGCUUUUUCCCCGGUCCAAGAAGAGGCUAGCUCAACCCCAGACACACACACGCGCUCGCACACCCUCGCUCAAACACAGUGAAAUAGGGCGGUUCAGAGGACGGAAACAUUCUGUGAAGUAUACACAGCAUGGUUUCUGUGGAUGGCCUGCGUGUCUUCAGCAGCGGCAGAAUCCUCUGAGGAACUGGCCUGACUCAUCUGCAUCUGUGACAGGUAAGAAAAGAAACCAAACAACUCACAGUAAGACAAGCAGAGAGCUGCCCUGCACAAUGCGCCCUAUUUUUUUCCCCCUUUUUUUUUUUUUUUUUUUUUUGCAUUGACUAGAUAUUCAUUUUCACACCUUACUUCUCCAUAUUUAUGAUUGCCCAUGAGAACAUUUUUUAUUUAUGCUGACUUCUUUCAUAAACUGGACAGCGGUUUCUUUUUUCUCCAUGUGUGUCAAAACAAUCUCUGAUUUAUAAUUUAUGUGAUUUAUGAUCGCUAUAAGCUAUCAAAAAAAGUGUCAAAAGAAAAGUUUUUUGGAGUACAAAGUGAAAUCAAAUAUGUUUAGAUGGUCUAUAAUUCACAAUCUUACUUAUUAAUUAGUCUAUGCAACUGAAUGACCAAUGUUUCAUUUUAACUUAGAAAGAGUGUUUUUGUAGGCCAGCAAAUUUUGAAUUCAUAUCCACAUAAAUGUGUAUAAAAAUCUUUUUAGAGUGAGUUUUUGCCGUUGGGGAUUUCUACCUGAAUUCUUAAUGCGGUGUGUAGUUAUGUUAUGUUAUUUAAUCUUUGCAGUCUAUGCCAUGAGCAAUGAGUGCCUAGAGAGAGUAAAUUUUUUUUUAUGAUAUUUGAGUACAUGUUCAGUUCUCUGUUUAUCAUGUCACCUGACCUGCACUUUCAGCAUCUCUCACCUUCACUCCAAAUGCUAUGUGGACUUUUAUAUACAGUAUUCGGCUUCUGUGGGUGGAAUGUUUUGUACCGUGUUUUGUGUAAAUGUCUUAAAGGCCUUGCACUAAUG